UGGCGAAAGUGGUUAAAAAUUGGUUGAGCCAUUCAAAGAAUGUAGUUCUAAUCUGGUCUUAUUUGCAUUAUCAUUUCCUUCUAAUUGCUGCGACUGGCUCUCGAUAAUUCCUCUUCCCUUAAUCACACAUCUUCUUCUACUUCAGAUUCUCCUAUUUCAAAUAUGGAACAAAGAUCAAGAUUAUAUGAUAAAAUGGCAAGGGAUUCGAUGAGAAUGGACCAACUUUCCUCAAACAUGGAGAGACAUCUCAGUCGUUGUCACUUUCAGAUUUUUUCACCUUGAAGGAUGGAUCUGUAACACCUGUACUUAAGGUAAGAACUUGGGUGAAUUGAAGAUUAAUCGUUAUAAAUGUUGCUUCUUAGCUAUGUUCUCUUAAGAAGUGAGUGAUCCUUGCCUCCUGUGUGCAGGCAGCAAACCCACCUGUGCGGGCUAAUGUGCUGUAUCUAAGCCCAGAAUACUCAUCGCCCAUCUCGCAAGCAUUUAGUUUUGCUUCUCAUGAUUCUUUUGUUUUAUUGGUAUCCCUUUCAUCAUAUUUGAUUAACAAAUUGUGAAUUUAAAGUACAUAAGAUUUGGGAUUUAGCCUAUAUCUAAUAUAGGCCCUAGGCAGUGAAUUGGCAAAACAAAUAUGUUUAAGCCAUUCCACUGAACAAAAUAUAUCAAUGGAAUUCUUGAAAAUAAAUGAAGGGGGAAAGAAGAAAAGAAGAGGCAAGCAAUGGGUCUUUGUCAAUCUAUCUUUGUGAUUGUGAUAACUGUUAAGGAAGUUGCUGCAUUCUGUUUGAACGAUAAGUAGGAAAAAUCAAGCCCCUGUAAUCUCAUAUGGUUCAUAGAAGGCAGGUAUCUAUUAGAUAAUCAGGACUUCACACUUGUGAAUAAAACAAUGUGCUGCUCAAGUUGCUGAAUUCACUUAAUUGCGCUUUUUCACCCUUUCACAAACCUACUUCGUAAUAAAAUACAUUAGAUGGUCAAUCCUGAUCCUUCUAAAACUUGGACGGUAGCAGAGCAUUUGGUUGCUUUGGAAAACAUUUCCCUUUUUGUGUAUAAUUGGUCCGGUAUGCUUUCUGUUUAUUUCCUGCAUUAUAUCCAGGCUUCUUUGGAAUUUAUAUUAAAAGUUUCUUAUGAUAAAAAUUAUGUAUUUUUUGCCACAGUGAGUCUUUAAAACACAUAUUUAGCCCAUACUUUGAUAACGGUAAAUAACUGUUUGGCCUACCUAUUAUUUUGAAUGUUGCUUUUGAAAUUCUGAGUUAGUUCUUUUAAUUCAUACGGAAAGAAAAGCAAGCAUAGGUCUUGUUUUAUUUUUUCAUAUAAAAUUUUUGUAGAAUUUCUUAUUUGUUGCCAUGCUAACAUGUUUUUUGGUUAGCGAUUUGGUUUCAGAACUCUGGCUUAUACCAUUUCAGUAUGUUUCAUGCUUCACAUCAUAUUGUACCUGUUCCUGCAACUGAAGAUGAGAUUGAAGCUGAAGCAACUGCUGUUGGAGCUGUUGUAGAGGGCCUCUGUCCUUUAAAAAUUGUCUUAGAUAGAGUGGUUUUGACUUUGACUGGUGUGCUUCAACUGGUGUCCCCUAAAAAUUCUCUUUUAGUGGUUUAAGUGUUCGAAGUUUCUAACCUACGAAGGAGAGAACACACAUGCAACAGGAGAAAUAAACUGUUGAUUUUUCAUUUUCUUCACUUACUGCUCUGGUUAAGGUUUGGGAUGUAUUUCUUUUAUUCCUUUACAGAGCUUUAUCUGCUAUUCAAGCUAAACUCGAACAUCACCUGUUUUCUUCCUUUAAUUGAUGUUUCUUAUCCUUGAUUUGAUGUUUCAUGUGAAACUUUCUUUCUGUAAUUGCUUGUUUCCUGUUUAUGGUAUCAGGAUGGGUAAAUCUUAUAAUUUGAGUGCCACUUUUUGUUUGACAUAUAUAUAUAGAUGGCGUCAGGAAUCAUUGAAGAAUAAUCCUGAGAAGUUAGUAGUAGUACUAUUAAUUCAUUUCAAUGCUUUUUGUAGGUGAUCUCUGGACCUGAUCCCAUAACCAUUCAUGCUAAAUUGAGGUCAGCACUUCCUCAUGCCCCAGAAAAGCAACUUGUAAGAACCAUGUGAAUUUCUUAUUUCGUUUGUAAGAGUAAGCACAGGACAACUUACUUUUCUGAAAGUCGCAAUAAGAUUGCCAAUAUGUUUGAGGAGUUGAGGAACCUACUGGCUAUCAGGAUCUAUGUGGUCAAAAUUGACUGUCUGCAAAUAUGCGAACUAUUGUUGCUUAAUUUCAUUUUCCCCUUGUAGCUUUAUAUAAUCUUUCUUUCUUCAUUUUCCCCUUGUAGCUUUAUAUAAUCUUUCUUUCUUCAUUACAUUUUUUGCCAAUGGAACUCCUCCAACCCCUCCCCCCUUCAUGCCUGACAGUGAGUUGACCUUGAAAUGUUGAGGAAAUUAAAACCUGGUCCACCUCUGCUAGCAUCCGGUAGUUCCCUUUUUAAAAUGCAUCACGUUGUUUUAUUUUAAUUCAAUAUGAUUAUAGGUGGUGAUGCCUUUUCUUCAAGAAUUUAUUUAGUGGCAUCCAUCUAAUUGUCUUGGCCUCUUUAUUCAAAUCAACAGCAAUAUGGUGAUAAGGAGUGUAAAUUUGCUACCAACUGCUAUUGAAACUAUUAAUGUUCAUAGCACUUGCAAAUUUGCUGCCAUUCACUGCUGCAGUAUGAUGCUGCCAUUCUUCAUACUUCCUUUGCAAGGCUUCUUGGUCAUCCCAAAGCUUCACCGAUGGCGCCUUCAAAUGAACUCCAAUUUUUCCAUGAGCUUGUUGCCUGCCUAAAAAUAAAAUUCGCGGAUCUGAGGUUUGUUUUUACGUUUGUGAUCUUUUCUAAUUUGUCCCCAGUCUCCGCCUCAACUCCUGCAUGUUUUCUCUCUGUACUCUCCUCAACAAAUGAAGACAUUUUUGCUCUACAUGUGAUCCAGGCAGUUAUUUCAAAACUGUGGUAUGUGGAGGAAUAUGACGUAUUGGCCCUUGCAUUGGACGGAAGAAUGAAGGUCCGGAGGUUCCAACCUGGUUGCAAAAGAACCUGAAGGUUUCAUAGUCACAAAUAUAAUUAGAAUCAUAUGUUGUCAACGCUUCUAGCUCUAUAAUUUUUUCCUUUAAACUUCAGAGGCAUUGUAAUUUCAUCAUAAUCACAAAUAAACGUCUCCAGUUUAUUAUGUAAUGUUGCUCUUCUUCAUCCAACAAAUUAGAAGUCUAUCACUUCUAGUAUUAUUUUCACCGUUUAUGAAGUGGUUUUCCAUUACUGGUGAAUAUUUCAAUUCAAUAAAAACAACUAAUUUCGUGAA
rnacentral:misc_RNA from 1 species